GGUUUUAUAGUCAUUAAUGAUAUUAGACUGCAAUUCUAAAGGAGUAAUUUAAAUUACUAAAACUU
rnacentral:tRNA from 1 species